rnacentral:rRNA from 1 species
GCCCUGUGACCCCCAAGUUUAACGGCCGCGGUAUACUGACCGUGCGAAGGUAGCGUAAUCAUUUGUCUUUUAAAUGGAGACCUGUAUGAAUGGCAUCACGAGAGUUCGACUGUCUCCCUCCCCCCGUCAGUGAAAUUGAUCUGCCCGUGCAGAAGCGGACAUAACAGCAUAAGACGAGAAGACCCUAUGGAGCUUUAGACAAAGGACCACCCAUGUAAAAACGCUUUCAGCCCCGAUAGGACUACGCAAGAUAAAAACUAACUGUGCUCUGGUCCAAGUGUCUUCGGUUGGGGCGACCCUGGGGGAAAAACUAGCCCCCAAGAGGAAUAGGGACAACCCCUGAACUAAGAAAAGCACUUCUAGGAAGCAGAAAAUCUGACCACAAAUGACCCAGGGCACGCCCCUGAUCAACGAACCAAGUUACCCUAGGGAUAACAGCGCAAUCCCCUCCCAGAGCCCAUAUCGACAAGGGGGUUUACGACCUCGAUGUUGGAUCAGGACAUCCUAAUGGUGCAGCCGCUAUUAAGGGUUCGUUUGUUCAACG